rnacentral:lncRNA from 1 species
GUUAACAUUGAUGUAUCUGGUUUCAUAUAUUAUGUCAUACUUCACUUGUCUUAUUACAAAUACACAGCAUGCUAUUUUCCGAAAACUUAUGCAAUGGAGAAUGAGUCAGACGCAUAUCCUUGAAAAUACUUUGUGUGUCAAAAUGCGCGGGACUAUUUAAGUAUUUCCUGUUAUGAUUGAAAUCACUAUCAAAUGAGCGCGCAAUCAUAUUAUGUAACAUUAAGAUAAUUAUCGCACGCAUUUUCGGAUUUGAUUUAAGGAAUAAAGAGGGUUGAGUCGAUCUAUUAGCUUGCAAGAUCAAUACGAAUGAUUAUGAAGACUUUAUGCAACAAUUUGCUGUUACUGUUAUGCAUGCUUGUAUUCAUUGAUGAACAUGUCCUGGCGUUGAAGACCAGUCGGAACCGUUCAGGCCACAGUGCACUUUUCAGAAGCAAAAGGAGAGCUUUACCCGAACUGAGAUAUGAUUGUACCAAGAUGCCAAAUAUCUGUAACAACAUCCGCAAUGCUCUUGCUGAUGGAAAGUCAAGAUAUCUCACUCGCUCGAACAGCGGAAUUUCCAGUAAUAGAAGAGCUGCAUGUGGCGGUGUCAGUGCACCUAGUGGGAUGUCAUGUGACGAGUAUCCAUUUGCAUCAACCAGACAAGGCGGGAUAGGAGCUAGGACGGCUGUUGUUCCCAUGAGAGAAAACUAUUCUCAAGGGGGGCAACUCAGUGCUUUUUAUAGAAAAAAUAACGUUAAAACCUACGGUCGCAAUUCACAUUUCUACUUAGCAUACCCUUGAACUGAUUAGAAAAAAUAUGAGUGACUGCUCAGUGCUGUUCUGUGAAUAUAAAUGGAAUACUGUCGAUUAAAUAAAUAGCAAUACUUUUAAUUAUUUUCAAAAUAAUAUACGUGUGUAAAACAUUAACGCAACACUUAGUUUUAAGUAACAUCUUAAACGUUACUCUAGAUACUUUUCUGAAAAUUGGACUAUCUGUAGACAAUUAUAUUGUAAAUGUCAAAUAAAAUUUCAAUCAAA